rnacentral:siRNA from 1 species
ACAUCCUACUUUGUGGCAAACUU